AUGCGGCCAAACUUUCACUCGAUAUGGAAAUCCAGCUGUCUGCAUAGACAGAAGUUCUUCUUUUGGCUUCUCCUACAAGACAGAUUGAACACAAGGGACCUACUUACCAGAAAGAACUUCUAUGUGGAAAACAACAGAUGUGUUUUGUGUGAUGAUGAAUCUAAUGAGGAUUAUAUCCACCUAUUAUUUUCAUGUGAUUUAAGUCAAAACUUCUGGAUUGCUCUGGGCUUUGAAUGGAAUGCAGAUUUGACUAUAUUUGAUAUGUUGAUGGAGGCCAAAAACAGAAUUACAAUCAAAUGUUUCAAAGAAUGUUUGAUCGCAGGUUGCUGGGCCCUAUGGAAACACAGGAAUGGCAUCAUCUUUGAUCACAAACAAAGAAACUUAGAAUAUUGCAUCAGUUGCUUCAAAGAACACUUUGCUAUGGUGAUCAAGAGAACCAAACCUAGUCUUAAGGAGGGAAUGCAAUCAUGGUUAGAUUAUUUGUAG
rnacentral:rRNA from 1 species